rfam:Triticum aestivum genome assembly, contig: Triticum_aestivum_CS42_TGACv1_scaffold_641497_T_6BS-0.201611_5BL-0.179402
GAUCUACUCCCUCCGUCCGAAAAUACUUGUCAUCAAAAUGGAUAAAAAGGGAUGUAUCUAGAACUAAAAUGCAUCUAGAUACAUCCCCUUUUAUUCAUUUCGAUGACAAGUAUUUCCAGACGGAGGGAGUAUAUC